UAGGGAAUCUUCCGCAAUGGGCGAAAGCUUGACGGAGCAACGCCGCGUGAGUGAUGAAGGUCUUCGGAUCGUAAAACUCUGUUAUUAGGGAAGAACAAAUGUGUAAGUAACUAUGCACGUCUUGACGGUACCUAAUCAGAAAGCCACGGCUAACUACGUGCCAGCAGCCGCGGUAAUACGUAGGUGGCAAGCGUUAUCCGGAAUUAUUGGGCGUAAAGCGCGCGUAGGCGGUUUUUUAAGUCUGAUGUGAAAGCCCACGGCUCAACCGUGGAGGGUCAUUGGAAACUGGAAUACUUGAGUGCAGAAGAGGAAAGUGGAAUUCCAUGUGUAGCGGUGAAAUGCGCAGAGAUAUGGAGGAACACCAGUGGCGAAGGCGACUUUCUGGUCUGUAACUGACGCUGAUGUGCGAAAGCGUGGGGAUCAAACAGG
rnacentral:rRNA from 1 species